UACGAAGGGGUGCAAGCGUUAAUCGGAAUUACUGGGCGUAAAGGGUGCGUAGGCGGUUCGUUAAGUCUGUUGUGAAAUCCCCGGGCUCAACCUGGGAAUGGCAAUGGAUACUGGCGAGCUAGAGUGUGAUAGAGGAUGGUGGAAUUCCCGGUGUAGCGGUGAAAUGCGUAGAGAUCGGGAGGAACAUCAGUGGCGAAGGCGGCCAUCUGGAUCAACACUGACGCUGAAGCACGAAGCGUGGGGAGC
rnacentral:rRNA from 1 species